CAGAACUCCAGGUCAAUUAUCAUGAUGACAGACAGGUGGGGUCUGGAGCUGCUCUUCAGCCAGGCAUCAUCAACAUCUACACAAACCUUCUCCCCACACUAAAAGAUAGCACAUCACCACCGCAAGUCAAAUGCUGUAUUCAAAUGGCUCAGUGGACUGUGGAGGCCAUUGCAUAUGAUUCACAUCGUUUUCAUCAGACCAUUCAGUGACCUCUCGUGCUCAGUGGAUGGGGUCAUUGUCAUCCUGAAAGAGAUCCCUCAGGUUACGCCCGGUGGGAGUGGCUAGAUGCACCUGUGGCUCCUUACAAUCAGCAAGGAUGGUUAAAUGAUGAGCCAACUUGAGCAUUGUGGCCAGUGGGCCGAAUCAGCUGCCAGAGUGUGGUGUUGUUGUCUUGCGUUCUGCUUAAGGACUAGUCUCUGCUGGCUAAAGAGCUGGGUAGAGUGACCAGCUUUGCACUUAUGAGGUGUGCUUUUGUGUCGGAAUCGUCUUUUUAGAUAAAUAAAUGUUCUUUUGUUGAUGUUACCCAAUCAGUUUUCGUGCCUCUGUAUCUGUUUCUUCUUUAUAUUCGUUACUCCCCUCAUCCCCUAGUUCUCGGGGACAUAACAUGGACAGUGGACAUGAAAAGACUUCUGUGGGUCUCAGACAAUGAAUCCUCAAGACUUUAGUAAUGCUUUAAUUUUUCCUCAAGCACCACCAGUUUAACAUGUUUGGUUUCAUAUUAAAUGUCUUUACUUUUGACUUAGUUAUCAUCAGAUUUUGUCCUGUCAUGAUGACUGAGUCCUAAUGACUUUGUUGAUUCUCUUCUGUUUCAG
ensembl:lncRNA